rnacentral:rRNA from 1 species
AGAGUUUGAUUCUGGCUCAGGAUGAACGCUGGCGGCAGGCUUAAUACAUGCAAGUCGAACGGUAAGGUCCGAAGUGGCAACACGGAGGAUACACGAGUGGCGCACGGGUGCGUAACGCGUAUGCAACCUGCCCCCGACCGGGACAAAACAGCUGGAAACGGCUGCUAAUAUCCCAUGGUCAUGCGGAAGGGCAUCCUUCUUCAUGUAAAGAUUCAUUGGUCGGGGAUGGGCAUGCGUAUUAUUAGGUAGUUGGCGGGGUAACGGCCCACCAAGCCGACGAUGAUUAGGGGUCCUGAGAGGGUUAACCCCCACACUGGAACUGAGACACGGUCCAGACUCCUACGGGAGGCAGCAGUAGGGAAUAUUGGGCAAUGGGAGCAAUCCUGACCCAGCCAUGCCGCGUGAAGGAAGACGGCCCUAUGGGUUGUAAACUUCUUUUGCCGCAGAGUAAACCCGGUCACGAGUGGUCGGUUGAGAGUAUGCGGCGAAUAAGUAUCGGCUAACUCCGUGCCAGCCGCAGC